CACAAACAGCCAUCCCGCUGAAGGUCUAGGGCAAAGGUGUCAGCAAGUGCAAAGGCCCUGGGCAUAUUCUAGAAAUAGAAGAGUUGAUAUGAUGAGAACAUAGAGAGGCAGGGAGAGAAGGAGUCUGGUAAAGUGAGGAGUUAGGAUUGUGUUUCAAGGGUAACGUAAGCCAUUAGAGGUUGUAAGCAGGGGAGUAACACACUCAGAUUUAAUUUUUUCAGGAACAUUCUGCUAACUCUUCAGUUGUGGGCCCUGCUUUUCACAGAGGAUGCCAUUCUUUGAACAUUCUCAGGUUUGCCCACAAAAAGGUUCACCAUUCUAUCUUAUUUGGGCCACUACCUCCUAGCCUGUCCUCAUACAGAUAUGAAAACUGAAGGCCCCGAUUACCAGAAACCAGGUGUUGGAGAAGCAUCGCUGUGUGUGGUCCACUGGCUUUUCUGAGGAAUCCUGGCUGUGGGCACUCCAGGGCCUGUUACCAUCCAGAAAGUCUCCUGCCUGUGACAUGAGAACCAAGAGUUUUGCAAAGGGAGUGGUUCUGGAGGAAAAGCAGAGCGUGGAGUGUCAGAGGGCGGUGUGUUGUGAAAUGCAUUAGCCCUAGAGACCCUCUGUAACUGGCCUUCCACGUACGCCUGCCGCCAACGACAACACUGAACCAUGCAAGCGGGGUGUUUGCCAGCUCACGAGCCUGGGAGACAUGGAGCUUCCACUAGCAGAGGAGGUGGAGGGAAAACAGAAAGAAAGAACUGAGUCUAGCAGCCUCCUUGGACGUUUCUUCGAACGCCUCCAGCCCAGCACAACAAACAACCUCAGGGCAUCAGGCCCGUGCUGCGCCCCAGCACACCCAGCUUUGCCCUGCUCCAAGAGCCCACAGAGGGCCUCGGGGUCACACUCAAGGAGCGUGCCUGGAAUCCAAAGUGCAUGCUGUGGUGGGGAUAUGGACAAGGGCAGAAAUAGCACCAAGCAAGGGAGGAUGAACUGGGUGAGAGGUGUGAGGAAACUGCCCAAGCGCUGACACCUGGGUAGAUUUUUAAAUGGCAAGAAAUCACAUAGACAACAUGGGGGCCAGGGAGAGGGUUGAGAGGUGAGGGCCUCACAGUAGAGGGCUUUCCAAGGGAGGAAAUAGCACGGGCAACGGCUGAAGCAUGCAAUGGUGUGGUGUGUGUGUGAGCAUGAAUGUAUGUGAGCAAGUAUGUGAGCAAGUGUGUGAGAGCAUUUGUGUGUGAGAGCAUGUGUGUGAACAUGUGUGUGAGCAUGUGUGACCAUUAAUGUGUGAUGUGAACAUGAGAGCCUGUAAGAAUGUGAUCAUGUGUGUAAACGUGUGUGACACGAGUGUGUGAGCAUGUGUGCACAUGUGUGAUCAUGAGUGUAUGUGCAUGUGUAUGAGCAUGAAUGUGUGUGCAUGUGUGUAGCAUGUUAGUGUGUAUGUGUUUAGCAUGUGUGUGUGAGCAUGGAUGUAUGAGCAUGUGUGAGAAAGUGUGCAUGAGCAUGAAUAUGAAUAUGUGAGCAUGUGUGAGCAUGAGUGUGUGACCGUGUGUGAGCAUGACUGUUUGCAAAUGUGUGUGAGCAUGAGUGUGUGUGCAUGUGAGCACUGAGUAUGUGAGCGUGUGAGCACGUGUGAACAUUAGUGAGCAUGUGUGUACACGUGUGCAUGUGGGAACAUCAGUAUGUGAGCAUGAGUGACCGUGUGUGUGUGCAUGAAUGAGCAUGAGUGUGUAUAUAUGUGUGUGUGUGAGCUUGAGUGCGUGAGCAUGUAUGUGCAUGUGUGAGCAUGUGAGUGUGUGAACAUGAGUGUGUGCCUGUGUGAGCAUGAGUGUGAGCAUGUGAAUAUGUGCAUGUGUGAGCAUGAGUAUGUGAUCAUGUGAGUGUGUAUGAGCAUGAGUGUGUUUAGUGAUACAUUUGUGAUUAUACAAAUGAUUUCAUGAUCUGCAAAGUCCAAUGGACAUUUUAACACUUCCCCUAUCAGCACAUCACACUUUAUUAAAGUUAUUUUGUACAGUCUUCCCACUAGAUUAUAAAAAGUCAUGUCUACCUUGAUCAACCUUAAGAAGACUUGAACAAGUGGACAUAUUCCGCCUUCCUAGGUGAAAAAGCUUGAUUUUGCAAAGAUAGAAACCUUCCCAGUUAAACUAUACUUUUUUAAUGUGGUUCCAAUAAAAAGUUCAAUGGGAUGAAUGAUUUUGUAAUGUGAUUCUAGAUUUAAAUUGUAAUUGUACUAGUAAAUAUAAGAAUAUUCAAGCCAAUAUUUUAAUAAAGAAUACUAUUUUAUCAUGUACAGCUGCCAUAAUGAAACAGAUGACGCACGACAGAUCAGAAUAAGAAAUUCAGGAAACAAAUUAAGGUACAUAUCAUAAUUCGGUUAUUAUGACGGCAUUUAAAACACCAAAUACAUGGUGGCAAAAUAGCUGACUAAUCAUUUGGGAAACAGCCUGGGCAGGCGCCUCUGCUGCGUUCCCACCGUCAGGCGGCAGAACACGCAGGGAGUCACCGGGGUGCCUACUAGUUCUCCCACUGAUCCUGAAGCUGGGUGAGAGCAGAGACCAGCUAGUGUUCAACUCCCUGUCCCCAUCAUUCCAUGUGCCUUCCACAGAGGAUGCACUAAAUUCUCGCUGAAGGAAUAAAUGGCAUUUGAACCUCUUCAUGGUAUCGUUUGGGCCUCGGAGGCACACAACUCUUAGAUAGCUGCCCUUUAUGGCAGGUCACAAGUGAUGCAUGUCUGAGCUGAGAAGUCGACGUCCCACUUCUCCUUCAUUUUCUUGGCCAUCCCUGAAGCCAUGCUAGGUCUAUGCUAGAAUCCUAGUGAAACUUUUGCUCACUCAAUAAGCACAAAUAAUAAUAAUGUAAAUAUUUACAACCUUCUGACUAAAGUGUC
rnacentral:lncRNA from 10 species